UCUUAUUGCUUUGUGUUCGAUGUGUUUUCAUCUUUCUCCAACAAAAUUUUGGUGAUUUUUGAAGCUUGGUAAGACAUUGGUUUUGAUUUUUAAAGUUGAACCAAUAUUUUUCUUUUUCUUCCUCCUCCCCGAAGCCCACCCGUCAGCGGGCACCACCAGUCACCAUCGCCCCCACCUCUCCCGCGCAUGCUCGCUCGCCGGUUGGGCACAAGGGGCGGCGGUGCCACGGCGUCGGCCUCCCGUCGGCGCGCGGACGCCGAGCCGUCGGCGCCCGUCCACCUACCGCUCACCCUCCCCCUCGAUUUAAACCCCGCGGCCCUUCUUCCCCAAACCCUAGCCUCCAAUUUUUUCCCCUUCCUCCAUUGUUACCGCCUCCUUCUUCUUCCCCAACGCCGGCCGCCACUGAAAUUCAUCGCCGACGGGCUCCCCGGCGACAACCUCCCCCCGCCGUCGCUGUUCCUCGUCGAGCUGCCCUCUCGGCUGCCGUUCUCUGCCUCAGGGGCUGCUGGUGAGGCUCGCAGCCCUCCAGGACACGCCGUGCACACGCUCCUGCCCCUCCCUGCCUCCUCCCCCCACCGUGACCGAAACGCCGGAGAGCAAGCCUGUUGAGCCUACCGAUACCGUUGAGCCCGAGUCCAGUGUCUGAGUACAUGGUUGAGCUGAAAGAAAACCAAGGCAAGC